UUCUCUUUCUAGGCUGGGUUACCAUGACAGCCAAGUGGGCUGACUCUAGUCCAAGAUGGCGGCUCCCAUGGAGCAAAUGACAGCGGCUCGUGUAGCGCUGGAUAGAUGGGUUAGAGAGGAGCUGGAGGCGGGAAAGCCGCGGGGAGAGGACGGGGUGCGGCGGGUCACCGAGUUAUUCAGACAGGCGGAGUACAGAGAGGUUGCAGAUGAGAAGAUAUUCACCUUGAUAUUACAGAUACUGUCUAGAGCGCAGCAGGAGAUCCAGACGCAGAUUGCGGUGUCUGAACCCUCCGCGGGACCUUGGUUUGACUUAUCAGCCGAAUGCUUCCGAUGCUUGAGAAACGCCAGUGCACAAUGCCUUCCGAAUCAGGAUACCAUCAGAAACAUCGGACUGAUCGAGAAAGCCAUAACCCUCAUUGGAGUCUUCAUUACGUCAAACACCUCACAAGAAUCUUGUUUAGUUGCCUUCCGCUGCAGCCUACAGUUCCUUGGCAAUGUUGCAGGAGGGAACCGGGAUUCCCAAAAUAGCAUCUGGAAGCGUGCUUUUCCACAUCUCUUCCUGAGUUGCCUGUCCCAUGACGAUGACAAAGUCUUUGCUUACGGUUCCAUGGUUUUAUACACCUGUAUGGAUGAAGACAAAAUAGCCGACCUGUUAGAACCUGCAAACCUUCCCCUCGCCCUGGGCGUAGUAAGCGCCUACAGCACGCGGUCAGAUGCAGAGUGGUUACACUUGAUAGUCACCGACCGUUUCUUGAGGUGCCCUGAACUUGUCAAACAGAUGUAUGCUUCACACAGCCAUGCGGAUCGGAUAACUCUCUUAGAGCUUAUUUUGUCUAAAGUAAAUGAGAAAACGCCCCUUACGGAGACUGAGUUGACUAGUCUGCGGGAGAUAGCAGAGUUUCUUUCUGACUGUUUCCAGAAACAAUGCAGAGCAGUGUUAAAACUGGCAGCACCGGGGGACUGUGAGGAGGAGGAGGCUUCAGUUGUGAUCAGGCUAUUGGAUCUUCUCUGUGAAAUGACCUCAGAUGCCGAUCACCUUUCCUGUCUGCAGUGUUGCCCGGGUUUACUAGACACAGUUGUAGACACCCUGCGUCUGACACAUCUGGCUGGAAAACAAAGCAAGAACGUUUUCACCUCCACUCAUAGUGCGUCCCUUGGAAGUGACCUGACGCACGUUGCAGUGGGAUUCAAGGCUCAUCUCAUUCGUCUCAUUGCUAACCUGUGUUACAAAAACAGGGAGAACCAAGAUAAGAUUUUUCACCUAGAUGGUAUUCCCCUCAUCCUGGAUAGCUGCAGUAUUGAUGACAACAAUCCUUUUCUUAACCAAUGGGCCAUUUAUGCCAUUCGAAACCUUACAGAAUUCAAUGACAAAAAUCAGGAGCUGAUCGCUAGUAUGGAACGUCAAGGCCUGGCCGACACCUCACUGCUAAAGAGUAUGGGAUUGCAUGUGGAAGAACGGGAUGGAAAAUUGCUCCUCAAAUCUGUCAAGAAAACGUGAAUGUCAAUCUUUCCAAUUCAAAGAAUAGAAGCUGGAAUGCAUUAGAACAUUAGAUGAAGGAACCAUUCUGUUUCAAAUCAAGAAAAUCCCCGAAGGUUUUGAUUUUAGCACGAGAAAUAUAUUCGACUUGCAGAAAUACAUAAUAAAAAUUCUGUUUCUGUGCCAUUUUUUCCCCAACAGUAACAAUCUUAUUUCAGAACCCUGAUAUAAAUUUUGCAACAAGGAUUAGGGAACGUCCGGCCCAUAGACACUAUAAGGACCUCAAUAUAAUUUUGUCAGGCCCACAAGUGGUUCCCAACCAGAGGGCUGCAAGAAACCCACCAGGGGUGCCACGGCAUUCCGGUGGGGAAGAUGGCAACAGGAUGUGCUAGGAUGCCUGCUGAUUAGCACCACCACAGGUGUCCUACGGUUCCAAGCCUAUAGUGAUACUACCUGCUGCCACUGGAAACCAGGAGAAUUUUCUCCGGGACUCACACAAUGAGUCACAUCAUGCUUGCAUGUUCUGGAGGUAGAGAUGCACCCGACCCCUAGUGGCUGCAGGAAAAUGCCUAGAACAGAGGAAGAUGGCAGUGACUGUGAGAGAUCCAAGCAGCUAUUGCAUGUGUGUCUCUAUGAGGAGUCCAAAUACAGGAAGUGAGGGUGGACAAGCAGGGCUCUGUGCACUAAGGAAAAGCAGGACAGUGUGCAUUGAGGCUCUAUGACAUGCUCCCAGCUCAUAAAUCAGGAUGAUUGACAAACCAGGAGCCUGCACCAGAUACUAGAACUGUAGACUUAGUUCUGCUCUUCCGUUGUAGACUAGAUUGUUGUCUGGCUGCUGUGAAGAUAAGUGUUUUGUGUUUGGGUGGCUGAAUUGUAAGCUGGACAGUAACUUUACCAUCUCCAGCUUAGCACUGAGUGAGUGGCACAGAUGUCAUCUAAUGUGAUAGUGACAGAUAAUUGUGGGAAACAUAUCAAAGACAGGGAAAAAAUUAUAUGCAAGUACUGGACGGUAGAGAAGACGCCAACUGAAGCGAGGCUGUUAUCAAUUGUCAAUCUGGUGGUGACUCUUCCUGUUGCAAGAGGAUCCUUUAUCAUUUCAGUCCCUGGGCCCUAAAUAAAAAUGGUUUUACUCAAGACAAGAUUGAAUCCCUGUGCUUCAAAAAACUGUAUGUGCUCAGAAGUUG